ACCUGGGGAUGCCAGGGCCCAGCCGAGUUUUCGACUAGCAGGGUUCUGGCCAUGAAUAAAUAGUGAGGGUCAGCUCGCUAGGUAGACUCAGUCACAAACUUGUCUUACCAGAUAAAGUGUUGCAGAUUAAACUAUUUUACCCCCCUGGGAGCAGGUCUCUGUGGCCGUAGGAGUGUAUAGGAAAACCAUCAGCCGAUGUGUCAAGUGGAAGGGAAAACUGAAGUCGAAGGAUUCGUGGCUUUUCACAUACAAAGGCAUCCUCCCAUCCCUCCUGGCCAGCCAGCGAAGGAUGGACAAGUGCACCUGGAGGCUACUGCCCAGGUGCAAGGGGUGGGUGUGGGGCAAGCUGCAGAAUGCCCCAGAACAAAGACACCUCCAGGGGCCUCCUCGGAGGUCACCCGCUGCCUCCAGGGCAGAUUAAGGAGGACUGGAGAUGGCGCUUGGAGGAAAUGGUUCCCCCUCCUUGAGAGCUCCAGGAGGCCAGGCCUUCCAGAAUCUGAUCUCCUUCCAACACUGCAGCCCCCCUGAGGAGGAAGGAAGAAGCCUCCUCCGAAUGAAUGGCCGAGCAGAGAGCCGGUCCCCAGCCAGCGGCAAGAGCCAGUUUUCCUCCUUAAGUGGCUCUUCCCUUACAUUGGAGGUGAAGCCUGAGGAAGAGGAGGAAAAAAGGCCUGUGACCUAUAUCGUCAAGGUCUGCUUCUCCUCCGCUCGGCAACAGGAAGGAAUCAGAAAGCAUUCUGGAGGAAGAAGAAAAACCCAAGUGCUGAUUGUCCCUUUAAGCCAUUCCAAUCACAGGCUCGCAGUUAAAAUAAUGCUCACCUACUGCGCUUCCAACUGGGCCAUCUACCUUUUUCGCUGGCGGGGUCAUGCCCAGUCAAGCCUGAUGAGGCUGCCGCGGGCCCCGAGAGCUCGCUGCAGGCCGGCUACACCUGUUUAUCACCAAGUCUCUUCAUUUCCCCUCCCCUCCUCCCCGCUUGAAAAGAAGCAUUAAUUAAACCGUAUUCUCAGGACUCCAAAAUGAGGCCUCCUUUUUCUAACUGCGGGCUGAAGUGGUUCAUUACUGCUGUUUCCUCCGCCAGGCCAGGACUCAGCCAUUCCCACUACUGAAGUUCCACAAGGGGCAAAAAUCCUUGUCGUGGCUAAAGUUUCCCUAGCUGUUGGAGGAAGGCGGCUCACGGGGACUCCAACAGUCCCCCUUCCUUUGUUAGGAGGCUGAGGACCAGGGCCAAGCUGGGAAAUUAAAGAUUAAGUUCAUUAAGGAGAUAUCUGGGAGGAGGUCCAUGGAGAUGACAGCGUCUGAUUACAGCCACUUAAGGGAUUAUACAGAAGACUUGACAUUGAGUUGCCCUCUGGCCACCCAGUCAAUAAGGAAGGGGCUGACAAGAUGGGUGAAAGAGGAAGGAGAAGACCCCAGCCUAUCCCCGGGAGUUUGCUGACACCCAUGGGGUCCAUCAGAAAGCAGUUCAGGAUGCCUGGCAAAAGGAACAUGACGAGACAUCUCAAUACAAUGUCCCACACUGGCUAAGAAAUGUGAAAACAGCUAAAGAAGAAAUAAAGCAAAAGAGAAAAACAAGGAAAAGAGGAUAGAAAAGAAGCAAAGCCAUCUCAGAGAAGACAUCUCUAGAAGGCCUGUUAUACUGUAAGGGAGGCAUCCUGAUGUCUGGCUGAAGUCUCUCCUUCUGCAAAAUUGUCUUGGGCUUCCCAGGUGGCUCAGUGGUAAAGAAUCCACCUACUAAUGCAGGAGACGCUAGUUUGAUCCCUGGGUUGGGAAGAUCCCCUGGAGAAGGAAAUGACAAUCUACUCCAGUACUCUUGCUUGGGAAAUCCCAUGGACAGAGGAGCCUGGUGGGUUACGAAAGUCGGACAUGACUGAGCAGCUAAACAACAACAACAUUGCAUUGUUUUCCUUUGUUUCAAGAUUUAUAGCAUAUAAGCAGCUCUUAGAGUGGUAACUAUUGUUAUUAUUUUAUUAAUCAUUAUGUAGAUCAUUAUUUCAUUAAUUACUUCCCUAUUUGAACUCUGCCUUGUUCUCCCCCUCCCCAAAUAUACGGUGGCUAGUAAGGGAUCAUAAAAUACAGCAGAAUACACACAAAGAGCAAGAAAAGAUGGCCAAAACACAAGACGCACACUGCAGGACAGUGCAUACUUUGUGAACCAUUUCUAAAAUGUAUACAAAAUACAAAUCUCAUAUAAUUCUAUAAUUAAUUUAUUAAGAUAAAAAAUAAAAAACUGAACUAAACUUAAGAUAUAGGAUACUGCUAGAUUUGGGGGGAAGGAAAUAGUCCUAGAGUAGAAGGAUGGUGGGCUUUUCUACUUUCUGUGUAAUGUUUCAGUGACUUGAAGUAAAUAGAACAAAAUAUUAACAACUGUCAAUUUUGUGUGGCAGGUACUAGAUAUUGCACUACUUUAUGGACUUUAGAUUUGGAAGAAGAUCUCAGAGUUGUAUUUACUUGCUCAAGUGAGCCAUGAGUUGAUCUCUAAGCUCUCUAAAGGGCAAUAUAAGGAAAGGAGCCAGGUCAGUUCUACAAUUGAUGGUAUCGUGAGUAUCCCGAGGUGAAAAUAUAUCCAGGCUUUGGGAGAGCCCAGAACCUGGUACUGAGAACUCUAGAAGCUAUGCUUAUUCCACAGUGGCUAGUGGGUGGUGGUUUCAGCAGGGGUUUGGGAGUCUGAGAGCUUGUGUGUGUGUGUGUUUCUGGGUGUGUGAUUAGAAGAGGGAGCGAUUGGUCACACAUCUACAGACAUGUAGCUCUUCACCUGAAUUGUCUGUUCUAAAGACUCAGGUGAGAGUCACCUCAGCCCUGAAGAUGGGAGUGCUCAGGGACAAGCUCCUCGUGGUGGCCUUGCCACCAGCCAAUGACUCAGUAUUUUCAAACGGCAUCACAGCAAAGCCCAGUUCAUAAAGCUUUGAGGAGCCCCCACUACUAUUGGGCAGGCCCCAGCUCUCUGCCUAUCAGACCUGGGGUUUUCAAGCCCUUGGAAGACUAAAGGGGCCGUCCAUCCUUAAAGCAAAGAAAUGCAAGCUACUCCUGCCCUUGGCCAAAGCUGUGACCAACACAGGGAGGAGGUGAGGUAGAGAUGGUGCUGCCCACAGGAGCCUGGGAAGGUCACCAAUGUCUUCUUCCCCUUGUGAGGGACCAGUAGUCAGCUGGGUGCAGAGGAGCUGGGAACUCGCCUCUCUAGAGGGCCACCCCUCCUCCUCUGGAGGGGAGCCCAGGUGACUCACCGUUGUGCCAGGUUUUUCCUCAGAAAGCAUUCGAAAUUGGCUCCAGCACCCAAAUGCGCAGCGAUGCAGCACCUAGGGUCAACUCCAGGAGGUGUGCCCG
ensembl:lncRNA